AGAUUAAGCUGGCUAGGCGGGUGUCCCCUUCUUCCCUCACUGCUCCAUGUGUGUCCCUCCCGAAGCUGCAUGCUCGGUCCAAGAGGACAACCAUCCCUGAUAGAGGAGGACCGGUCUUCAGUCAAGGGUAUACAAGUAGCUGCGCUCCCCUGCUGGAACCUCCAAACAAGCUCUCAAAAAGCUUGGGCAGACAGACGGAAAAGUGACAUGCUUUGGGGACUAAGGGCUUUUAAA
rfam:Gorilla gorilla gorilla genomic chromosome, chr10, whole genome shotgun sequence